UCUGUCAGGGUAGGGGGCGGCGAGCCGGAGGGGAGCCGUGGGCAGAGCCGCCGGAGGCGUGUUGCGGGGAAGGGACGUGGGUCCCUCCCGCCAUCCGUGCCCGGGGAAGCUGCGAGGGGAGGGCUGCUGAAUCCCGCCGGAGCCGCUGCCUCACGCCGGUGCCCGGUGCCGCACGCAGUUGGGUGCCCCAGCGAGGGCGGCCGGCGCUGUCGCGGUUGGGAUCCGCGUGAAAGCGCAGGGUGGCCAUCGUGUUGGGGAGUGUCGUGGGCCGUGCACGGCAGGCUUCGAGGCUUGGCAGCUACCGACGGAGCCCCACGAGGCAGAGGUAGUUAUGAGAGAAGACAGGAUUCUUCUACUUUCACUUACAGAUCUGUGGCUACAGCCCUGUGCAAAUUGGACUUUGUUUCAAGCUACAUGUGAAUUUACAUGUAAAGUUACUGCCAUCCCCUGAAGUUUGUAUAAGGAAUGCAGCUGAGUAUGAGGUAAGUGGGACUAUGCUCCCCAUGUGGCAGAGCUCCUAUGAUCUGAUUGACAGCUAUCAUUAGUUGGCUGAUGGGUGAGCCUUAAAGGGGAGAAUGUACAAACAAGCAAAUCUAAAUGCAAAUGUUGAUUUGAGGGGAUGGUCUAACAUGGGAGGAGAUCUAUCCAGAUG